CAAUUAUACCGCGAAACUGCGAAUGGCUCAUUAAAUCAGUUAUCGUUUAUUUGAUAGUACCUUACUACAUGGAUAACCGUGGUAAUUCUAGAGCUAAUACAUGCUAAAAAUCCCGACUUCGGAAGGGAUGUAUUUAUUAGAUUAAAAACCAAUGCCCUUCGGGGCUCUCUGGUGAUUCAUAAUAACUUCUCGAAUCGCACGGCCUUGCGCCGGCGAUGGUUCAUUCAAAUUUCUGCCCUAUCAACUUUCGACGGCUGGGUCUUGGCCAGCCGUGGUGACAACGGGUAACGGAGGGUUAGGGCUCGACCCCGGAGAAGGAGCCUGAGAAACGGCUACUACAUCCAAGGAAGGCAGCAGGCGCGCAAAUUACCCAAUCCCGACACGGGGAGGUAGUGACAAUAAAUACUGAUACAGGGCUCUUUCGGGUCUUGUAAUUGGAAUGAGUACAAUUUAAAUCCCUUAACGAGGAACAAUUGGAGGGCAAGUCUGGUGCCAGCAGCCGCGGUAAUUCCAGCUCCAAUAGCGUAUAUUAAAGUUGUUGAGGUUAAAAAGCUCGUAGUUGAACCUUGGGCCUAGCCGGCCGGUCCGCCUCACCGCGUGCACUGGCUCGGCUGGGCCUUUCCUUCUGGAGAACCGCAUGCCCUUCACUGGGUGUGCCGGGGAACCAGGACUUUUACUCUGAAUAAAUUAGAUCGCUUAAAGAAGGCCUAUGCUCGAAUACAUUAGCAUGGAAUAAUAGAAUAGGACGUGUGGUUCUAUUUUGUUGGUUUCUAGGACCGCCGUAAUGAUUAAUAGGGACAGUCGGGGGCAUCAGUAUUCAAUUGUCAGAGGUGAAAUUCUUGGAUUUAUUGAAGACUAACUACUGCGAAAGCAUUUGCCAAGGAUGUUUUCAUUAAUCAGGAACGAAAGUUAGGGGAUCGAA
rnacentral:rRNA from 1 species